rnacentral:piRNA from 1 species
UACAAAGAAACAUUUGUCUAAUGUCUGC